CUCGGUAUAAUUGAACUGUGGGACGGCAUUUCAUGCUCCUUAAGUACAGCUGCAACCGAAACCAUUGGUUUUCGAAAAACGCAAAAGAACAGCUGUUACGACGAGGAGUGCCGUGUCGCAACGGAGAGGAGGCAAGUACGGGAUAGAUACCGAGAGGUAAAGAGGGAAGCGAGACCCAUUUGCAGACAGAAAAAGAGAGAUGCCGAAAUGCGUGAGUAUGAAGAAUACUCGAAAAUAUGCGGCGGCUAACAGAAGGUUUCAAGACCGGAGCAUACUCUUGUAAAACCCCCAAAGGUAAUCAGUUUCUCGACGUCGAUCCUUCUUUGGGUUGGUUGACGGGUGUUUUUGCUGCACAGAGGUGGGUGCGUGUCUUGGCUGCAACAAGAUGGUGGUUGGAGUUAGAUCUUCGGAGCGUAUGCAUGUCUAAAAGACUGGAGACUCAUCUUACGUCUAUCCCAACAUGAUCGAUCUGGUUGGUGGUUUUUCGAUUCAGAGACAGCCAGGUAGCUUGGUGAAUUUGCUAAGUAUAUGCUGGAAUAUAGACCCAUAUUUCGGGUCCCGGCUAAGUCGAUCAGACUCAACCCAUUUUGUGAUGUUUCCUCGUAGAGGCUGAAUUUACCGACUGUUGUGCUAAAUAUACCUUCCUUGCCCACCCUGGCGUUUAUGUUGCCAAACACGAUUUUGAAAUCGGAUCAGCGAUCUGAGAACUUUCCUCACUUGCGUGAACUCUAUACAUGACUCCAUCCUCAAAACUACGUUGAAUUUAUUAUUUUUGAACGCGAACAUUGUCGCAGAUCAACAUGCAAUAAUAUUAAUAAGUUAAUAUUCUUAUUCUUAUGUAAGCAACUUUUAUAUGCGUGAUUGCAACAUUUUUAUAAAAUAUUUUUUGCGAAAGCAAAAACCACUCGUGCUCUUGUGAAGUGGAUUGCGAUACGUCAAUAUUGCUUAACAUUUAUAUCAUUCAUUAAAUGUCGUAACGUCAAGAUCAAUUAAUAUUGUAAGUGUAGCAGUCGCCUAAGAUUCCUACGAGACCAACAAGUGGAAAAGGAAUCACUGAAUUGUUUAUAUAUAGUAUUAUUAUUAUAGGUUGUUUGAACGUCUAAUAUUUAUAGAGAAGAAAUGGCUAUUUCUCGACCGGAUGAGGUCUAUCAGUUUUCUAAUAAUCUGCCUAUUGAGGUUUCUUAUAAAAACUCCACAACAUACACGCGCUGCAAUACUUAUGACCCUAGAGUUAUAGCACAAGGAAAUUCUUGGCAUCAAAUUGUGGUUCAGCACAAUGGGAAAUUCGGUGGACGAGAUAGUAUGCCAGAAAUCUUGCAAGUAAUCUUUGAAGCUGUUGAAGGAGAAGAGCUGUUUCCUGUUGCAUAUCGG